UAGGGAAUCUUCGGCAAUGGACGAAAGUCUGACCGAGCAACGCCGCGUGAGUGAAGAAGGGUUUCGGAUCGUAAAACUCUGUUGUUAGAGAAGAACAAGGACGUUAGUAACUGAACGUCCCCUGACGGUAUCUAACCAGAAAGCCACGGCUAACUACGUGCCAGCAGCCGCGGUAAUACGUAGGUGGCAAGCGUUGUCCGGAUUUAGUGGGCGUAAAGCGAGCGCAGGCGGUUUCUUAAGUCUGAUGUGAAAGCCCCCGGCUCAACCGGGGAGGGUCAUUGGAAACUGGGAGACUUGAGUGCAGAAGAGGAGAGUGGAAUUCCGUGUGUAGCGGUGAAAUGCGUAGAUAUAUGGAGGAACACCAGUGACGAAGGCGGCUCUCUGGUCUGUAACUGACGCUGAGGCGCGAAAGCGUGGGGCGCAAACAGG
rnacentral:rRNA from 1 species